UCAUUUACAUCUAUUUCUUCAUCAAAAUGUCCCAUCAGCCUCUGCCACAACAAACUUUCCAUCUACUGAGUCUCCCACAUCGGUUCCUUCAAAAUCUCCUGCCAGUCCGAGUGCUUCUACAGCUGAGACUCAAACAACAGAACCUACAACACCGUCUGCAAGUGCAAGCCCUUCAGAUUCUCAAACAGCAGAACCCACAAGUAAGUAAUACACAAGUACAAAUGUAUGUAAAGUAUUCCAGGAAUGUUUAACCAUUC
rnacentral:lncRNA from 1 species